GGGGCGCUAGAGACGCGUGGCUGCCGGCGCGCGUCAGUCUGCCGCCCUCGCAGAACCUCCCGCUGGGGGUUCGGGGAGCAUCUAUCGAGCGGCCCCGCCCGUCCACGCUAAUUGAGCAUCUUAGGGAGGCGGGACCCUGCGGAGGUCACCCGGGCCUGGGUCCUCCGUGCCCGCGGGCCUGGCUGGCGCUGGCAGGUGCCGCCUGUGCCAGGAACCGAGGAGUCGAGGAAGGAGGCUGGGAAGCCGGGGUCGCUGGCGGCAGUCUCGGGCGGGAACGUCCCCACGGGGGCAGAGGCUGAGUGAGGGGCCCAGGGACGCUGUCAUGACCAGGCCGUGGGGGUUCUGCCGACCGGCUGACUCUAUGUUUUUGUUCCGCAGGUGGGGUCCAGUGACCUUGGCACGGCUACCAACAGGCCUUCCGGGGACUAAGAUACACCCAGCCGUCCUCAGUUCCCCCUCUUCCUGGCUGCUUACCAGCCCAUUCGUAAUACGCCCAAAAAGAGUUUGGAAAAAAGGAGGAAGAUGCAUGGGAAUAAAAAAGGCCAUGAUCAUUUAUAUAUUAAUAUUUUUAUUUGUCGCAUCCAUAAAUGUGUACUCUUUAAAUGAUUCUAUUGUUAACUUUGAGUGGAUCUGAAACAAACCUGAAAGGUUAGAAUACAGCAGCCAGGUUUUCAUGAACCCAAGGUGUUUAAGACCUAUGCUUUAUUCUGAGGCAUUAGGGCUCAGAUGAUCGUUUU
rnacentral:lncRNA from 1 species